GCAUCUAUGGGGUAGUGGUAACCUGGGUCGUUGCCAUACAAAACCACUUUAUUGUCACUGAGGGUUCCAUUCCCUCUUGAUCCA